UUCACCCGUGAGCACCAAAGAGACAUCCGUCUUCUUCAACCGCAAGACGCCUUCUCUCCAUCGUCCUGCCGUCGUCUUCUAGCCCAAAAGGGUUUGCGCGUCUCAAACUCUGUCACAAGGUUGCCUUGCCCGUGAAUCGUCGUCCAAAAGGUUGCACAUUUCCUCUACAAACUGAACUUCAAAAUCGCGAUUGGGAUUGAUAAGGCCAAGAUGUUGUACAAAGAGAUGAUAGGGUCUAAUUUUACAAUGAAGCAUUGUUUGUGUCUUUUGAGACACCAACAAAAAUGACAGAAACACAUAUCUACCUUUGGUAAGAAGAGAAAGUCACAAGAAAAAUAUGUUGGUGAAGUUGAUGUUGAUUUAGCCGAGGAGGACCUGGAGGUUCUUACUGAGAGACCUUCAGACAAAAAAGUUGAGAAAGAAAGGGAGAGGAAGUGGAAGUCGAUGGAAGGCAAAUAGGUAGAGAUCAAAACAGCGUUAGCUAAAAUGACCGAGGAUAGAGUGACGACCAUGGAAGAAAGGAGAAAUACUAUGUUGAAGGCAGAGGAAAAAAGUGAAAAAGUAUUUGAACUAAAGAAGAAGUUUGAACUAGAGGAGAAGAAAUUUGAACUAGAGAAGAAGAAUUUUGAACUAAAGAGAUAAUGAUGCUAAAUGUACGUGGUAUGAAUGCCAUGCAACAAGAAUAUUUCCGUAAUAUUCAAUUAGCAAUUUUUAAGGAUUCAAAGUCACAUUCUGGAUGUACAUCUACAUCUCUUUCGACACCUUAUGGAGGUGUCUAACUUUUAGUGUUGGUAGUACUAAAUUUUUUGAGAAUUUAGUGGCUGCCCAGUCACAUGUGGGCUGGAUAAAUAUGUAGCUGGGUAGCAACUAAAUGCUUGGACUGUGGACUAUGGAUUGUGUUGGACUAUGGAAUGUGUUUGUAUUUAUUUGUGGACUGUCUUGCUCAAUACUAAUGUUCAUUUUAUAUAUGUUAGACUGUGUUGAGAACACUAAUGUUGGACUGUGGACUGUGUUGAGGACACUAAUGUUGGAC